rnacentral:rRNA from 1 species
UACGUAGGGGGCAAGCGUUGUCCGGAAUCAUUGGGCGUAAAGCGCGUGUAGGCGGCUCGAUAAGUCUGCUGUGAAAGUCCAGGGCUCAACCCUGGGAUGCCGGUGGAUACUGUCGAGCUCGAGUCCGGAAGAGGCGAGUGGAAUUCCUGGUGUAGCGGUGAAAUGCGCAGAUAUCAGGAGGAACACCAAUGGCGAAGGCAGCUCGCUGGGACGGUACUGACGCUGAGGAGCGAAAGCGUGGGGAGCGAACAGG